rnacentral:rRNA from 1 species
GACGAACGCUGGCGGCGUGCUUAACACAUGCAAGUCGAACGGAAAGGCCCUGCUUUUGUGGGUUGCUCGAGUGGCGAACGCGUGAGUAACACGUGAGUAACCUCCCCUUGACUUUGGGAUAACUUCAGGAAACUCGGGCUAAUACCGGAUAGGAGCUCCUGCUCCAUGGUGGUGGUUGGAAAGUUUCGGCGGUUGGGGAUGGACUCGCGGCUUAUCAGCUUGUUGGUGGGGUAGUGGCUUACCAGGGCUUUGACGGGUAGCCGGCCUGAGAGGGUGACCGGCCACAUUGGGACUGAGAUACGGACCAGACUCCUACGGGAGGCAGCAGUGGGGAAUAUUGCAGAAUGGGCGGAAGCGUGAUGCAGAAACGCCGCGUGCGGGAUGACGGCCUUCGGGUUGUAAACCGAUUUGGCCUGUGACGAAGAGGGAGUGACGGUAAUGAGUAAAAAAGCAACGGCUAACUACGUG